rnacentral:rRNA from 1 species
AAAGAUUAAGCCAUGCAUGUCUAAGUAUAAGCAACUUGUACAGUGAAACUGCGAAUGGCUCAUUAAAUCAGUUAUCGUUUAUUUGAUAAUCCCUUACUACAUGGAUACCUGUGGUAAUUCUAGAGCUAAUACAUGCUUCGAGGAGUGGCUUUCGUCACUCUGCACUUAUUAGAUAAAAAACCAAUGCCCCUUUGGUGCUCCCUGGUGAUUCAUAAUAAUUUAGCGGACCGCAUUCCCUCGAGGAGGCGGUGGAUCAUUCAAAUUUCUGCCCUAUCAACUUUCGAUGGUAGGAUAGUGGCCUACCAUGGUUU